rnacentral:rRNA from 1 species
GACGAACGCUGGCGGCGUGCUUAACACAUGCAAGUCGAGCGGAGCGGCGAACGGGUGAGUAACGCGUGAGUAACUGCCCCCCUCUCUGGGAUAACAGUUGGAAACGGCUGCUAAUACCGGAUAGUGGGGGAUGACUCGCGGCCGAUCAGCUUGUUGGUGGGGUAGUGGCCUACCAAGGCGACGACGGGUAGCCGGCCUGAGAGGGCGACCGGCCACAUUCUGCUCCUCUCCCUCCCCCACUCCUCCACUCUAAUCCCAUAGAGAAUAUUACCCAAUGGGGGAAACCCUGAUGGAUCCAUCCCCGUACAUUAUGACGGCCUUCGGGUUGUAAACCGCUUUCAGCCAUGACGCGGUAGUGGCAGAAGAAGCACCGGCUAACUACGUGCCAGCAGCCGCGGUAAUAC